CGUAUAUUAAAGUUGUUGCAGUUAAAAAGCUCGUAGUUGGAUUUGUGGCGUAUGGUGUGUUCCGGGCACUUGUUGUCUGAGUAACCUGCUGUUGCCAUCCUUGGGUGGAACCUGUGUGGCAUUAGGUUGUCGUGCAGGGGAUGCCCAUCAUUUACUGUGAAAAAAUUAGAGUGUUCAAAGCAGGCUUAUGCCGUUGAAUAUAUUAGCAUGGAAUAAUGAGAUAGGACCUUGGUACUAUUUUGUUGGUUUGCGCACCGAGGUAAUGAUUAAUAGGGACAGUUGGGGG
rnacentral:rRNA from 1 species